UCCGCCUGCUAGCCAUGACAAAGGCUUCAAGCAUGAAAAUUUUGGUGGCUCUGGCAAUAUUUUGCCUUCUUUCCAAUAUACAGCAAUGUAAUGCGGCGGACAGACCAGGUGGUGGAGGCCACCAAGGAAACGGGCCAAGAGGCGCUCAUGGAGGAGGAGGAGGUGGCGGUGGACGAAGAGGUGGGAGAGAUGCCAAUCCUGGUAAAAAUAAUGGAUAGGCGGCAUCAAUAUUAUAGGGAGCUCUGCCGCUAAGCGACGCCUAUUUGAAUUAUCGAAACAAAAAAACAACAACUAAAAAUUUUCAAUAAAGAGUUACGCGCAAUCGGGCGCCACCUCAACA